AUCCAAUUGACUAGUCCCAAAUAGGAUGAAACGUGCGUCCUGGAU
rnacentral:hammerhead_ribozyme from 1 species